rnacentral:rRNA from 1 species
CACCGGCAGCUCAAGUGGUAGCCAUUUUUAUUGGGCCUAAAGCGUUCGUAGCCGGUUUGAUAAGUCUCUGGUGAAAUCCUAUGGCUUAACUGUGGGAAUUGCUGGAGAUACUAUUAGACUUGAGGUCGGGAGAGGUUAGCGGUACUCCCAGGGUAGGGGUGAAAUCCUGUAAUCCUGGGAGGACCACCUGUGGCGAAGGCGGCUAACUGGAACGAACCUGACGGUGAGGGACGAAAGCCAGGGGCGCGAACCGGAUUAGAUACCCCCGUAGUCC